rnacentral:rRNA from 1 species
UACGGAGGGGGCUAGCGUUGUUCGGAAUUACUGGGCGUAAAGCGCGCGUAGGCGGACCUGCAAGUCGGGGGUGAAAGCCCGAGGCUCAACCUCGGAAGUGCAUUGGAAACUGGCAGACUGGAGUCCCGGAGAGGAGGGUGGAAUUCCUGGUGUAGCGGUGAAAUGCGUAGAUAUCAGGAGGAACACCGGUGGCGAAGGCGGCCCUCUGGACGGUGACUGACGCUGAGACGCGAAAGCGUGGGGAGCAAACAGG